AGAGUUUGAUCCUGGCUCAGAUUGAACGCUGGCGGCAGGCUUAACACAUGCAAGUCGAGCGGAGAUGAGGUGCUUGCACCUUAUCUUAGCGGCGGACGGGUGAGUAAUACUUAGGAAUCUGCCUAUUAGUGGGGGACAACAUUUCGAAAGGAAUGCUAAUACCGCAUACGCCCUACGGGGGAAAGCAGGGGAUCUUCGGACCUUGCGCUAAUAGAUGAGCCUAAGUCGGAUUAGCUAGUUGGUGGGGUAAAGGCCUACCAAGGCGACGAUCCGUAGCGGGUCUGAGAGGAUGAUCCGCCACACUGGGACUGAGACACGGCCCAGACUCCUACGGGAGGCAGCAGUGGGGAAUUUUGCGCAAUGGGAGCAAUCCUGACGCAGCAACGCCGCGUGGGUGAUGAAGGCCUUCGGGUCGUAAAGCCCUGUCAGGUGGGAAGAAUGUCUCGGGACUGAACAGGUUUCGGGAGUGACGGUACCACCAGAGGAAGCACCGGCUAACUCCGUGCCAGCAGCCGCGGUAAUA
rnacentral:rRNA from 1 species